rnacentral:lncRNA from 1 species
UUAAUGCCCUUUCUAGUAAUGUGGAGUACCUUGCAUCAAGGGAUGCCACUAUCAUGGGAAGUCGGAAUGGGCAUGCUCCACUUUUCCUUUGGUACACUCUGAACAGAAAAGGGUACAAGGGAUUCCAGAAGGAAGUCCAGAAGUGCCUGAGGAAUGCUCAUUAUUUGAAAGACCGCCUUAUAGGAGCUGGAAUCAGUGCUAUGCUGAAUGAGCUGAGCAGCACAGUUGUUUUUGAGCGACCUAAAGAUGAGGAGUUUGUUCGCAAGUGGCAACUUGCUUGUGAAAGAAAUAUGGCACAUGUUGUUGUGAUGCCUAGUGUGACAGUUGAUAAGCUGGAUAACUUCUUGGACGAAUUAGUUGAAGCACGAUCAAUCUGGUACAAGGAUGAG